CAUAGAUUUUUCUGUGCUCUAGCCUCUCUGAGUACAAGUAAGGAUUUAAGCUAAAUUGGGCAUCAAUAUCACAUUUAUUUGUCUCUUCCUUUCUAUUUGUGCACACUGACCUGUGCAUUUAUUUGUAUUUUGACACUCCUCAACAUAUUGUUUUGUCUUGCUCAUUUAUUCACCCACUUAUUUAAGUACCCAUCUUUUCAUCUCUCCCUCCUCUCUGUUCAUUUCUCCUCCCUGAAACAUUUAUUUUGAAAAACAAGAAAAGGACCUGUACUCUUCACAGUAUCCGUUGACGUCAUCAAGGUGUUUUUCCCGAUCGGGCAGGUGACUCACCUUUGCUCUUACUCGCUCCCCCGCACAAACACACACUCACACACACUCACAUACGCCGGGGCGCAAUGAGUUAAGGAUGUGAGUCAGGCGGAUUUCUGUGGAAGAAAAUCAGGAACUUCACACUGACGAGAAACUUUUCAUGUCGUAACGGGAAGUGAUUUGAAUGUGCUUCUGAUGAAGGGUUUUACUGGUCUGAUCCCGGCCUGUCGGUGCUGAGAGGGACGCCGGAGUUUUGCGGUUGUUGGUCGGACAGUUUGAAGGCCUGGAAACAUGCUGGUUGGUGGUGCGUUCACGGUCCUGCUCUUUCUCAUCAGUAGAGUUUCUGCUGGUAAUGUUCUACCUCCAACAAAUGUGACCCUGAGCUGCACCAAUCUCAACGUCACAGUCAGUUGGAAGUACCGGGAACGGCAACCACAAACCAGCUUCCGGGUACACAUUACAGGAUCUGCUGGGGAUUAUGAGACCGAAACCACGGACCAUCAGUACGAUCUGAGCCACUUCGUCUGGCAAUCUGAAGAGCGCUACUUGGCCUUCCAUUACGUCACUGUAACAGCCAUAGAGGGCGGCAACCAGUCCAAAUCAGUACAUUCUGAAACGUUCACCUUUAACAAGUUCAAUUAUCCUCAGAAAAGAUGUGCAUUGGAUUUCCCUCCUGCGGAUCUGAAUGAGAAUGAUUCUGGGGCCACAGUCAGUUUUGUGAAUCCCCUCUACUUCUACAGAGAACUGAAGGAGGCUGACAAACCGAAUACUGUCACCUUUAUAUACAAUGUCUUUUCAGAUGGAGCCUUGAAGUCGGGACCUGCUGAGUGCACAGCGGCACAUGAACACUGCAAACAUGAUGUCUCAUUUCUUGAGGGUGUGGAGAAGUGCGUCAACUUGAGUGGAUGGCUGAAUGCCGGGAAUAAUGUUGGUGGGGUGGUGUUCAGAGAGAGCGGUCGCAUUUGUCUCAGUGAAUCAACUGAGCUCCAUGCUGUAGCGCUUACUGUAAUGCUGUUCGUCCUCGCCAUCUUAAUCAGUGGCAUAAUAAUUAUCAUCUAUAAUGCAAAUGCCUGGACAAUGAAGAUACCCAGUUUCCCCAAACUUCUGAUCUCAGAGCCGCACCCCAGGGAAUGGGACAUGUAUGCUCAUAUGUCCCACGAACACUUCAGUCAGGCGAUUGUCAGCCAGCCCUGCAAGAACCCGUCAGUCAGCUCUGAAGAGGAGAACCAUCUCAUGGAGAACCUGGACAGCAGCACCGGCUCCGGUUUCCAGCAUGAUGAGUUCUACAUGGAGGGAGGACGUUCAGAGGGAUACGGGAGAGGUGAUGACUCUGAAAACAGCUCAGUGAAAUCAGAGACUGAUUCGACUGGUUUGGAGGAGGAGGAUGAGGAAGAGUUGGAGGAGGUGUCGGUGUCACCCUACGACUGCCCACACACUCUGCAGGUGGACAUGGGUGAUGGAGACAUGGUCACAGGUUAUAGCAAGAGGUAAAGGAGGACUUGAUCUGGGAUUGAAGUUUGUUUCAUGACGGUUUUAACUCACCCAGGACCGUCCUCACAUGUUCGUACCUCGGGUGCACUACAGAGCCUAAACAAGUGCACUCAGGGAGGUGGUGCUCAAGAGAUGCUCAUACCUUCUUGUUUCUGACUGCUGUGAUCAAAACGCAUUGACCUACAUGUUUGAGGAUAUCGUCGGUUUGCCUUGUUGCUGCAUUUGGAGGUAAUCAGAUGAAUCAAAACAGAAAAAGCCCAAUUUUCUACAAAACAAAGAAGAUGAAAAAAAUACUCCUGCCUGUCAUGCAUUUUAAAGAAGCCUUUCAUGAACAUGAAACCUCAGCUACAUUUAUAACCUUUUUAACUUUUAUUUUAUGGGAAGAAACUGUAGUUAACGCUGCUGUUUUAAUCUGCUAAACAAACCGGUGAUCUUCCAGUCACUUGCCAGCUGUUUUCUGUCUGGCUGCAGAGGUAUACAGCUCUAUCUUUUACCCUCAGCCAUCUCUGCUCCUGCGGCAUUUUAUCAGAUGCAGCAGUGCAGACCAGUUGCUUCAAAACACCAUCCGGAAAUUUUUCAUCUCAAAGAAAACACGCUUCAAAAGAAGAACAAGUUGUACGAGUGCUUUCUGUUGUCUUUAAGUAUCGGCUGAAACUUGUUGUAUGUGUGGCUGUUUUUCAUGAAGGGAAGGAGCUCCAUUUUUUUAUCUUCAUCAGCAUGUAUGGUUUUGUUUUGUUUUUAAAGGAAAGUUCACCCAAAUGGCACACAAAAAAGCAUUGUCAUGGUAUACCAGGGUAUUUAGAAAUAUGAUAAUAUGAUUUUUAAUACUGUCAAAAAUACAGACACUCAUCUUUCUAUUGUCCUCAUAUGAAUGAGACGAUGAACUGAGGAUUUUUUGUAAGUAGUGCACAUCAUAUGCCACCUAAGGUCAGUCUGGUGGGACAGGCAGCUGAGCUGACAAACAUGGCGACUGCAAGUGGUGGGGAUAACAUAACAGGACUGUAACAGCUGCAACAGCACCGUCCAGAUGUAUAAUAAUAACUAGACCUGAUCGGUCAAGGGGAAUUGCUCGCUAGGAUGGAUUUCUAUGUAAAGUUUUCAAAUUGUUGGAAAUUCAAAAGGAUGUGACAUCAUGCACACUGCCGAGUGCCUUGACUCUUGAGCUCCACUACAGUGCUAACACUGUGCAAUAGUAGCUGACAUAAGUUAGAAAAGGAGUCCACUAACAUCAACAAAUGACCAGCAUCCACCACAGCACAGAGUCAAACAUGCUGUGUUUUCGUGAUAUAAAUUUUGCAGCGGUGGCCCGGUAGAGACGAACCUUUACUUGCACUUGCGCUGGCUGAAUUUGAGCUGCUACAGGAGGUGACUGAAGGUCCGUCUCCGGAGCUGCCGUCGGCUCUCCUCCCGGCGAAGUUGUCUCCGAGUAGUGGGGUUGAGUUGGAGGGACCAUGUGGUGCGCUCGCUAAUUCUUGUUUCAUUUGUGGUCUAACAAACAGUAAAUUCAUCAAAUUCAGUUCCCCUCGAUGCAGAAAAACCACGUUAAUAACGUGAAAUAUGUGGGUAUAUUGCAAUAAUGUGCUAACACAGAUGAAUUGCUAGCUUGGUAAUGUAGCAAAAUACUGUCUAGAGUGAUUAACAUGAUCCAAUUCAUCCAGAUUCCCGGGGCUGGUUAGCAAAUUACUUAGAUAACGUCACACAGCAGCCAACAACAGAUCCAUGCAGUGAAGAUAAGUUACAUAUAGCUGGGCGGUCUAUUACCUAACCAGAACCCAAGGUUAGCCAGCUAGCUGUAUAUUAACAUUAGCUGAUUAAGUCAUUUGUUAACAGAGAGCUAGUUAAAAUCAUGGAGUCAGUGGUCCAAAUGAGAUAAACAGAUUUGGCCGAUGCCCAAAUGCUCGCUUGGGGGCUCGCUGGCCACCGGAGUUAUUAAUAACAACGAUUUUCUUCAAGUUACAUACAGAACCUUUAAUCAUGUGGAUAGGUCUGGUCGUAUAUUUGGUGUAAUAUUCCUGCUAUUGUCACAGUAAACAAGGGUGAAUUGAAUCCGUUUUUAGAAUCAGUGGUCCACAAAUGAUAAUCCACAGAACCAACUGUCACAGGGACUUUUUCUUUGGUAGAAAGUAGUUCUAAUGAAAAAUAUUUAUGGCAAAGAUCUGUGGAUUGUUUACCGCAAAUGUGGAAACCUAUUUAUGCAAAGAGAUGUUGAGUCUUUUAAAGUCAUUUUGAGCAUUUGAACUCCAAAUAUUAACCUUUAAGUACCACUACAGGUAAAUAAGAAAAUAUGUUUUCUGGCGUUUGGGUAAAAGACUCGUCCUGGAUGUUCCGAGCAAGCUUGAGUGUUUCGUUUUGAAUGUUGUUAAACUGAGCACCUCAUACAGUCUGGACUUUCCACUCCUGGCAGCAGAUUGACAUGCAUUAUAAAUAUCUUUCAGUCAUAUUGUUAUGUGCCACACCUAAUUUCUCGGCACUGAGCUACAGUUAACGCUCAGUGUUUCCAUUCUGUUAUUGAGCAACCUGGGACCUGCCUAACUGGUUCUGUGUAGGCGAUGUGUGGGAGUGUUUCUCUUGUUCGAGAUGAUUGGUUUUGUUUACAGUAAUUCAGGGUUUUUUCUAUUUUAUUUUUUAUUGUGGCAAAUUUAACCUUGUUAAUAAAUUCUAUUUUACAAUAA